GGGGCUGUAGCUCCGUGGUAGAGCGCCCACUUUGCACGUGUGAGGCAUUGAGUUCGAUCCUCAGCAUCA
rnacentral:tRNA from 1 species